rnacentral:rRNA from 1 species
UACGGGGGGUGCGAGCGUUGUCCGGAAUCACUGGGCGUAAAGGGCGCGUAGGCGGCCUGAUAAGUAGGGGGUGAAAUCUUGCGGCUUAACCGCAAGGCUGCCUUCUAAACUGUCGGGCUAGAGCACAGUAGAGGCAGGUGGAAUUCCCGGUGUAGCGGUGGAAUGCGUAGAGAUCGGGAAGAACAUCAGUGGCGAAGGCGGCCUGCUGGGCUGUUGCUGACGCUGAGGCGCGACAGCGUGGGGAGCAAACAGG